AGCGCAGGCGGACCGGCAAGUUGGAAGUGAAAACUAUGGGCUCAACCCAUAAAUUGCUUUCAAAAACUGCUGGCCUUGAGUAGUGCAGAGGUAGGUGGAAUUCCCGGUGUAGCGGUGGAAUGCGUAGAUAUCGGGAGGAACACCAGUGGCGAAGGCGACCUACUGGGCACCAACUGACGCUGAGGCUCGAAAGCAUGGGUAGCAAACA
rnacentral:rRNA from 1 species